rnacentral:rRNA from 1 species
UAGCAAUACGGCAGCGGCAGACGGGAGAGUAACACGUGGGAACGCGCCCUUCGGUUCGGAAUAACUCAGGGAAACUUGGGCUAAUACCGGAUACGCCCUUACGGGGAAAGAUUUAUUGCCGAAGGAACGGCCCGCGUCCGAUUAGCUUGUUGGUGAGGUAACGGCUCACCAAGGCGACGAUCGGUAGCUGGUCUGAGAGGAUGACCAGCCUCACUGGGACUGAGACACGGCCCAGACUCCUACGGGAGGCAGCAGUGGGGAAUAUUGGACAAUGGGCGCAAGCCUGAUCCAGCCAUGCCGCGUGGGUGAUGAAGGCCCUAGGG